rnacentral:rRNA from 1 species
GACGAACGCUGGCGGCGUGCUUAACACAUGCAAGUCGAACGGAAAGGCCCUGCUUUUGUGGGGUGCUCGAGUGGCGAACGGGUGAGUAACACGUGAGUAACCUGCCCUUGACUUUGGGAUAACUUCAGGAAACUGGGGCUAAUACCGGAUAGGAGCUCCUGCUGCAUGGUGGGGGUUGGAAAGUUUCGGCGGUUGGGGAUGGACUCGCGGCUUAUCAGCUUGUUGGUGGGGUAGUGGCUUACCAAGGCUUUGACGGGUAGCCGGCCUGAGAGGGUGACCGGCCACAUUGGGCCUGCGAUACGGCCCAGACUCCUACGGGAGGCAGCAGUGGGGAAUAUUGCACAAUGGGCGGAAGCCUGAUUCAGCAACGCCGCGUGCGGGAUGACGGCCUUCGGGUUGUAAACCGCUUUCGCCUGUGACGAAGCGUGAGUGACGGUAAUGGGUAAAGAAGCACCGGCUAACUACGUG